rnacentral:lncRNA from 1 species
AUAUUUCUUGGUCUGUAUGUUGAGAUAAAGGGUCUAGAUUAUAUCUAACAGUCCCAUUAAAGAGAGUAGGUUCCUGAGGUAUAAUCCCAAAUCUUGAUCUCAAAUCAUGAAGUCCAGUUCUAGAGAUGUCAAUGCAAUCUACCACAAUCUUUCCUCCAGCUGGUUCUGCCAGAUGAAACGAAGCACCUAUAAGAGUAGUUUUUCCGCUGCCUGUUCUGCCAACGAUACCAAUUUUAUGUCCUUCAAUGGUGCAGGUUAUUCCUUGAAGAACCAGUGGCGCUUCAGGCUGAUAUCUGAUCUGUUAUGUAAUCCAUUCUUUCUCGGCAUAAUAACUAAACAUUAGAUUGAAGGGAAACAAAAGAAAAUGUACCUGUAAAUUGGAUAUCUCCACUUUCCCAAUAGCUGGCCAGUUGCUUGGAGGCCGGUUCUCUUCUAUCACUUCAGGUGCUUCACUUGGUAUAUGCAUGUAUUGAUCAAGUCUUUCAACCACUCAUUGGCUGCAAAAUUGUGGAAGGAAGGACUAGCAUUAGUGUCAAUGAGGUCAAGAUUCUCUGCAAAGAACUGCUCUUCCUCCUCGAAAGCUCUAAUCAUCAUGGCUCCAGCUAUAGAUUCGGCUAGAUGAUUUGCUACCAGCGACUUGGUUGUGCCAUUUAUCCACAUCAACUCCUUUGCUAUAGCGUAUUAAUACCUCUGCAGAUAAACAAUGCAAGUAUUUUGUAAAUAUCAAGAAAGCAAGGCCUAAAAGAUCUUGUUAGUAUUGACAGAAAGAACCUAGAUGACCAUACCUGUAAGCGAACUGCUAAAAAAAUCAUUGGAAUGGAGAUGAACAGGACUUGCCACAUGACAAACCCCAGUACUCCAAGAUUAGAGUAAGCAUUCAGGGUAGUCACAAGAGCAAACAUUAAGCUGAAUGGCACAUCAAGAUCGACUAUGCUAAGAUCAGAAGAGACCUAAAGAAGGACAAAAGAACUAGAUUAAGAAAGAUUACUUCCAAUUAAUGGUUACUUAAAACUGAUGCAUCAGUAUUUGGUCAAUUGUGCUGCUUACCCGACUAAGUAUUCUUCCUAGACGUGUGGAGUCAUAGAAAGACAUUGGAGCACGGAAAAGGGAGUUUAGCAGCUGUGAAAAUAAAGAUUUUGAUUAUCUGAUACCCACAAUGACAAUAAAAAGAUACCUAAUUAGCAAAACAACUGUUAAGCUAACUCCAAUCAACAGAUAAACAGUAACGAGAAGCAGUGUGCCAACAUGAGGAUUGUCAACAUUAGCCGCCAUCCAAGAGUUCUGUGCUAUCCGACAACUCACAAACAUAACAUGAGAAAGACAAGCAAUGGAUAGGAACAAAAAACCCUUUGUCCAGACCAAGAUACUGUCUAAAUGGCUUAAUCCCGUUGUCUCCUAUCUCUCACUCUUCUCGCUUGAUCAAUUGAUCACCUUUGCAGGUUCUGAAUUUAUUCUCCACAUAAGUCCUCUUGAUCUCCCUAGCACCUGUUCAUGUAUCUGGGGCUUGCUAACCUCAGCAACCCUUUCAGAACCAGCAAUUUCUUUGUGUGCAUUGACAAGGUUUUGAAAUUCUUGGCUUGUAGCCAGUAAUUGAUGAUAACGUGCAGCUUGAAGGAUUUCUCCAUCUGACAUCAACUGUUAACAUAACAAAAGUAAAACUUAAACUUUUAAAAUAUAAUAUUAUUAUUGACAGUUAAAAAGAAAUUAUAGAACAGAUUUGGAUGUCCAAUGUAGGUAAAGCAAAAGAAAAAUAAAGAACAUUCAGGAAGUUUCUGAAGCACAGUAUACUGACCAAAACAGAAUGAAAUGCAGGCAAGAAAUCUACUUGAUGGGUCACAAGUAACACUGCCUUCCUAGAAAGUGCUUCCAUAACAUAUUCCUGUGAAGAUUUAUGUCAGUUUUCUCUAAAGGAUGGUAAUGAAAGUAAUUAGAAGGUAAUAAAAGCAUGUAUUUACAUUGAAUAAACUGAUUGCUGUAUGGGCAUCAACAGCACUAAAAGGAUCAUCCAAGAGAUAGAUAUCGGCAUCCUGAUAGAGAGCAAGAGCAAGCUGAAUUCACUGCUUCUGCCCACCACUCAAAUUAACUCCUCUUUCACCAAUCUCAGUCUGAUCACCAUAAGGAAACAACUCAAGAUCCUUUACCAAUGAACAUCACUCAAUUGUUUCUUGGUAUCUUUGUCUAUCCAUUGCAGAGCCAAAUAGAAUGUUUUCCUGCACACUUCCUGUCUGAAUCCAUGCUGUUUGAGAAACAUAAGCAAUUUUCCCAUAAACCUGAAUCUGUUAAUUUGAAAAAAAAAAAAAAAAAAAAAGGAGCAGUUUACAGAUAAGGUAUGAAAGAGCUCUGCAACAUUUAGAUAUAGAAUAAUUAUGAAAAUGAUGGAGCCUGAAAAGAGAAGUAAUUACUUACAGUUCCGUGUGUAUUUGGAACUUCUCCAAGAAUUGCUGCUAGAAGGGUUGAUUUCCCUGAACCAACUUCUCCACAAAUUGCCACUUUUUCUCCAGGCCUAAGCUCUAAACUUACGCCUUCAAGUGUUGACUUUGAAGAAUUCUCUUCCCAAGAAAAACUGGCGGAUAUUAUGAAAAUUGCACGGUUGGUGCACUUCAUGUUGCAAGUGAGAAAUGUAUAAAGCACAUUCGUCCUAAAGCUGUCAAAAACUUAAACCCAUACCUCGAUUGAUCAAAAUCUUCAAUUAGAUCUUCUCUCGAACAGGUGGAAAACAAGACUCAAGUUACCAAAAAAAAAAAAAAAGAGCUGGAGACAAUAAGAUAAACAAACUGAGAAUUGGGUCACCAACAGUUCAUUUCAUUCACAUAAAGAAAACUAGAAAAAGCAGAAGAAUCCAUUUUGGGAAGUACAAGGCCAAUGUUGUUUGGCAUCAAGCCAAAAAAAAACGACAAGAUGAAAACAAUCCAUCGUUGCAGAAGGGGAAAAAAGGACGAUCACACAAAUUUCCUAAAACAAACAAAAAAAGAAGCAGAAUCCAAAUCAAAAUUCUCAACUUAGCAAGUCAAUACUCAAUUACAACAUACAUUUAAAAAAAAAAAAAAAACUAUGAAAUGAAAACGACCAUCGAAAGAAAGACGAAACCAAAACCACCCACAAAGUUAAAUCACAAUAUUUUAUUUGGUUAUACAUAAAACAAAAAUUACAGUGUUGAAGAAUUUUACUUAAAAAAAAAAAAAAAAUUUUAAAAAAAUUAAAAAAAAGUUUUCUAAAAAAAAUUUUGAUAAAAAAUACAUUAAAUAAUUAAAAAUUAAUAAAAAAUAUAUUAAUAACUAGAGUUUGACGAAAAAUACGAAAUAAAAGUAUUUUAAAAUAUAAAAGUCAAAUAAAAAAAAAUAUUAAAAAAAGUGUUCUAAUAAAAUAAAUUUAAUUAUUAAAAUUUUUAUGUUAAAAAAAAUUAUUGAAAAUAAAUGUAAAAAUUAUAAUUUAUUUUAUUUAUUUAUUUAAAUUAAAAUAAAAUUUAUUUUUUAUUAAAUUUAAUUUAUAUUUAUUUUUUAAAUUAUAAUAUAUUAUUUUUUUAAAUUUUAAAUUUAGUAUAAAAUCAUUUAAAAAUAUUUUAAAUUAUUAAAUAAAUAAAAUUAAUAAAAAUUUAAAUUUUCUUCCUACUAUAAAAAUCCCAACACAAACAUAUAUACAUAUACACCCGAAAAUCUAACCGACCAAAACGUCUCCCUGCUGAUCCGUCCGCCGGCGGAAGCGUCGGUCACUAGUUCAAGAUCAGCCACGGCCAUGUUCGAGAAACUCGCGAGAAAAACAGCUUCGUCGUGAACAUCUUGGCCGAAUGAGUGAGACGACGAAGGUGGCGGUGUAAAUGGGUUUCUUGCCGUGCAUGGCGGUGGCUUUGAGCCGGCAGUAGACAAUGGGGUCUUGUUAGGAUUUGCAGAGGAGAAACCCACGUCCCAGUUCGCAGUUGACUAAUCAAAUCGAUAUAGUAUCAAAUCAAUAUCAUUUUUGUAUGAAGCAAAUAGUUUUUUUUUUUUCUUAUAAUUUCGAGUCCGAGUCAUCUUAGAGAUAUAAACGUUAUAUUCACGAUCUAAUUAUUUAGGUAAUAUAUUAAAUAUAUUAUUAUUUGAUAAUUUAUUUUAAUAUAUAACAAUAAUAUUUUUAUUAUCAUUAUUUAAUUUAUAUGAUAAAAUUAUUGAUUAAAUUUAUAGAUUUUAUAUCAAAAUAGAGAUCUUGAUAAUGAGAAUAAAAUAUUUUAUGAUUUACCCUAAAAUAUUUUUAGUCACUAAAUUAUCAAAAUAUUAUAUUAAUAAUCUGGUAAAAUUAAUAUAUAUGUGAUAAUUUUUAUAAGAUAAAUAUUAAUUAAUCUCAUUAAGUAAAUUACAUAUAUAUAUAUAUAUAUAUGAUACAUAUGAACUGACCCAAUUUAAAAUUUUUAAUAGUUAACGUUGUCUUAAAUUAUCAAUAAAAUAUUAUCUUAAGAUGAUAAAAUGUAAGAAUUUUCUUUAAACAUGAGAUCAUCAUAAUAUAAAUCAUUUAUCAUGCUUUAAUUCUGAACACCGAUAGUCAUAAAAUUAUAAUUGAAAGGAUAUUGAGUGUGAUUAAAUACUUAUAGAACUAAUAAUUGAUCAAAACGGAAUCCGUCAAUUUUAGUAAUAAAUUUAAGUUCUAUGUUGUCAUUUAUUAUAAUGAUUAAAUUAAGAUCUUGAAGAGAACAGUUGAAUGAAAGAAAAAAAAAAAUUUUAUGUCAUUCAUUAGUCAAUUAUAAUUGAUAUGAAAUAUAGUUGGUCACCUAUUAGAAUUUAAUAAUGUGCAAUAUUAGUGUAAGAAAUAGUACUUUUAACUCAUUAGUGAAUUAUUUAUUUAACAAAAUUUAAUUUACAGUGGAGAAAAAUGAUUCCUAAAGCUUCAAUGUAGAUCUGCAGAGUGGUAAUGAGACCAGUACUCCUUCACUAGCUGCCCAAAAAGUGAACCUUCCCUCUUCAUUAGCUCCAUUGGCUCAUCAUACUCCACAAGUUUACCUACAACACAGACAAGCAUGAAUAAAUUAUUUACCCGCUAUAAAUAUACAAACGAGUCGAAAGAUUCCGUAAAUGUAAUUAGUUCGUUUUAAAUACUUACCAUCACUAAUAGCGAGCACCAUGGUGCAAUCCAUCACCGUAGGAAUUCUAUGAGCCACUGUGAUUACAGUGCAAUCUGCAAAUUCGCUCCGAAUAGUUCUUUGUAGAAUCAUAUCUGUUGUAUUGUCAAUCGACGCAGUUGCUUCAUCGAGAACCAAUAUACGGCUUCUUCGUAGAAGAGCGCGUCCCAAACAGAACAAUUGUCGUUGACCCAUGCUCCAGUUUGAUCCGUCCUCCACAACUAUGUAUAAGUUGGUGAUUAUUAACAAAACUCGCAAGUAUAAGUAAAAGAAAAACCGAGAAUGUCAAUGUAUAGAUAAUAGAUUGAAUCAUAUUUUUUUUUGUUUAAAAUUUUAUACUUAAUUCAAUUAUUUUAUAUUAUAUUAGAGUCGAAAAAUUUAACACUCAUACUUUACCUAUCUAUAACACUCAUACUGUACUUAUUUAUAUGAUUAAACUAUAAUCAGAACUUUACAAACUUAAGCGUGAAAAAAUGUAUUAUAAAUAAUACGCUAAUGUAGUUCGAUUUAAUAUAUUCCGAGAAAUAUUUUAGAAAUAUUCUGAUAUAUUCGAAGAAUAUUGCAGGGUAAAUCCUGAUAUUUUCUGCAUGUAAAGAUUUACAACUUAACUAAUCUAAUGUACUUUUAUUAUUUAUCAUAAUGAAAAAUUUUCUUUUUGAUCUUUUCCCCUUAUCAAACCACGUAAAGCUUACGUUUUUAUUUUUAUUUUUCUCUCUACUUUAUGUGAUUGUGCGCAUAUUAGGGAUUAAUUUCUACAGCAUAAUAAAUUAUACGUUAGUUCAUAAUAUCUUACCUAAAGAAUCCAAUCCUUCUUUUUCUUGGACAGUCUCUCCAAGCUGACACUUCCUCAGUACCUUAAUGAUCACAAGAACAAGGAAAUGUUCAGCAUUUUCUAUCUUGCAAGUAGUAAAUGUUCAAGCACUUAAAUGAGGGCAUAGAAAAAUUUCAGCAUAUAACAGCAGUCAGAUGCAAAGGAAAUGAAAUGUUGAAACAUUACCUCCCAUAUUUCUUGGUCUGUAUGUUGAGAUAAAGGAUCUAGAUUAUAUCUAACAGUCCCAUUAAAGAGAGUAGGAUCCUGAGGAAUAAUCCCAAAUCUUGAUCUCAAAUCUUGAAGUCCAAUUCUAGAGAUGUCAAUGUCAUCUACCACAAUCUUUCCUCCAGCUGGUUCCACCAGACGAAACAAAGCACCGAUGAGAGUGGUUUUUCCGCUGCCUGUUCUGC